ensembl:lncRNA LINC01128 long intergenic non-protein coding RNA 1128
GGCCCUGCCAGUGUCUCCGCCGGUUGAAAGCGCGUGUCUGCGUCGGGUUCUGUUGGAGUGCGUUCGGUGCGCCGUGGGUCCGCGCUGCUUCCACCCAACUUCCUGUUAGUUUCUCUCCUGUCACAAUGGCAUGAUCUCGGCUCACUGCGACCUCUGCUUCCUGGGUUCAAGGAUUCUCCUGCCUCAGCCUCCCAAGUAGCUGGGAUUACAGGUUACAUUAGUUAUACACUCUGGAGGUGACUUGACCUGUCAUUGUGAACAAUUAUUGCUCUUGGACGACCCAGGACAUAGGCCAGCCAGUACGUACCCCAGUGUGUUGGAGAAUCGCGCUCGGCUUCUUCCUCUGUGCUGAGUCAUGAAAGUUGCCGGAGCAGGUGCAGUUACACAACCUCCAGGUAACAUCACAUGAUCGUUCAAAAAAUAAUCAUCCAAGUCCAGGAUGCAGCAUCUGUCUCAGUUUUUGGCAUAGGAUGACAGUCUGAAAUACACUUACUGAAUUUGAAUAAGAACGGGCUCAGGUCAGUGAUUAUCGCUAGUGCCUUAUCAACGCCCUGUGGCUUUUCAGCAUUAGUCCCCAUAUCCUCGUCCGGUGUGGCACUGAGAGCAGCUAACUGUUGCCCUCGUUGGUUCCCAGUUGGCUUCCGUGACUGGUCAGGGUCAGGUCCACUGCCAACAGGCUGGUGUUGAAUCCCUUGGAGAAACACAGACAUUCUGACCCUAAAUUAUGCUUUCAAUGCCAUGUGUUUUCCUAUCACAAAAAUCCUCGUUCUCAAGUUUCUUCUUUCUUUAUUUUUAUUUCAUUUCAUUUUUUAGCAUUCCUCCACAAUUCAUUGCCCAAAUCUACUUUUUACUCAAUUUACUUGCUUUGGUCAUUUUUCAAUAUAGCACUUUAAUUUCUUAGACAAAUAUUUUCAACAUUCUCCUGUUUUCUCAAGGAUGUCUGUUUUCUCCCCAGGUAUGAUCCUGUUUAAGGACUGGAUUUAGGAUAACUACUUAGAGGUUAAAAGUCACAAGGGUGUAUGGAUGAGGCUGGAGUGAUCUGGGACCAAAGGUAUGGGUGAUAAAGCAGAGUAUCUAAGCAGCUCCUGGGAUUGGUGUCUUUAAAAAAGUAAUAAUGCAUUUGCUUAUUUUAGAGACAGGGUCUCACUAUGUUGCCCAGGCUAGACUUGAACUCCUGGGCUCAAGGGAUCCUCCCACCUCAGCCUCCUAAGUAGCUGAAACUGCAGGCAUGAGCCACCACACUCAACUCACUAUCUUUUUUUUUGGAGACGGAGUCUCGCUUUGUCCCCCAGGCUGGAGUGCAGUGCUGUGAUCUCAGCUCACUGCAAUCUCCACCUCCCGGGUUCUAGCUAUUCUCCUGCCUCAGCCACCUGAGUAGGUGGGAUUACAGGCGUGCGCCACCAUGCCCGUCUAAUUUUUGUAUUUUCAGUAGAGACGCGGUUUCGCCAUCUUGGCCAGGCUGGUCUUGGAACUCCUGACCUCAAGUGAUCUGCCCGCCUCGGCCUCCCAAAGUGCUGGGAUUACAGGCAUGAGCCACUGUGCCCUGCCUAGCUCACUAUCUUUCAAUCAGUAGAGAUUCUUUAGUUAUUUUUUAACUCCAUGGAUCCCAAGCUUUGAUUUUUGUUUUCCAAACAAAUUGCAUUUAUAAAUAAUAAUUUUUAUUUAUAAUCAACAGACAUCUAGGCUUGCUGUCAAGGCUUCUGAUCAACAUGAGAUGACCGCCGUGUGGUAAACUGAUGAACCCUGACCCUGAUCAACAUGAGAUGACCGCCGUGUGGUAAACUGAUGAACCCCGACCCUGAUGAACGUGAGAUGACCGCCGUGUGGUAAACUGAUGAACCCCGACCCUGAUGAACGUGAGAUGACCGCCGUGUGGUAAACUGAUGAACCCCGACCCUGAUGAACGUGAGAUGACCGCCGUGUGGUAAACUGAUGAACCCCGACCCUGAUGAACGUGAGAUGACCGCCGUGUGGUAAACUGAUGAACCCCGACCCUGAUCAACGUGAGAUGACCGCCGUGUGGUAAACUGAUGAACCCCGACCCUGAUGAACAUGAGAUGACCGCCGUGUGGUAAACUGAUGAACCCCGACCCUGAUCAACAUGAGAUGACCGCCGUGUGGUAAACUGAUGAACCCCGACCCUGAUCAACAUGAGAUGACUGCCGUGUGGUAAACUGAUGAACCCUGACCCAUUAGGCUUUGGCUACAGAAUGUGGAAAUAAGUUGUGUUACUACAUGUGUGUAAUCCUAGGGUGCAGGACACCGGCCGGGAGGUUCCAUAGAGUGAUGGGUUCUGCAGGUAACUCAUCCUCUAGUCCUCUGUAAGCUCCUAGAAGGAAGAAAUUAUGUCCUUUAGACUAAUAAAAUUCCUCCAAACCAAA